UACGUAGGGGGCAAGCGUUGUCCGGAUUUAUUGGGCGUAAAGAGCUCGUAGGUGGUUCGGUAAGUCGGAUGUGAAAUCUCCAGGCUCAACCUGGAGGGGUCAUUCGAUACUGCCGUGACUAGAGGUCGGUAGGGGAGUGUGGAAUUCCUGGUGGAGCGGUGAAAUGCGCAGAUAUCAGGAGGAACACCGGUGGCGAAGGCGGCAUCCUGGACCAAUACUGACACUGAGGAGCGAAAGCCAGGGGAGCAAACGGG
rnacentral:rRNA from 1 species